rnacentral:rRNA from 1 species
AUUGAACGCUGGCGGCAUGCCUUACACAUGCAAGUCGAACGGCAGCACGGAGCUUGCUCUGGUGGCGAGUGGCGAACGGGUGAGUAAUAUAUCGGAACGUACCCGAGAGUGGGGAUAACGUAGCGAAAGUUACGCUAAUACCGCAUACGAUCUAAGGAUGAAAGCAGGGGACCUUCGGGCCUUGUGCUCCUGGAGCGGCCGAUAUCUGAUUAGCUAGUUGGUGAGGUAAAGGCUCACCAAGGCAUCGAUCAGUAGCUGGUCUGAGAGGACGACCAGCCACACUGGAACUGAGACACGGUCCAGACUCCUACGGGAGGCAGCAGUGGGGAAUUUGGACAAUGGGGGCAACCCUGAUCCAGCAAUGCCGCGUGAGUGAAGAAGGCCUUCGGUGUAAGACUCUUUGUUCAGG